rnacentral:rRNA from 1 species
UACAGAGGUCUCAAGCGUUGUUCGGAUUCAUUGGGCGUAAAGGGUGCGUAGGCGGCGAGGUUAGUCGGAUGUGAAAUCCCAGGGCUCAACCCUGGAACUGCAUUCGAUACUGCCUUGCUAGAGUACUGGAGAGGAGACUGGAAUUUACGGUGUAGCAGUGAAAUGCGUAGAUAUCGUAAGGAAGACCAGUGGCGAAGGCGAGUCUCUGGACAGUUACUGACGCUGAGGCACGAAGGCCAGGGGAGCAAAACGGG